GGUGAACGCUGGCGGCGUGCCUAAGACAUGCAAGUCGAGCGGGGCAGGAUUAUACCUGUUCAGCGGCGGACGGGUGGGUAACGCGUGGGUGGCCUACCCGGAAGAGGCGGACAACCUGGGGAAACCAAGGCUAAUCCGCCAUGUGGUCCUCUCCUGUGGGGCAGGACUAAAGGGAGGAUAGCCCGCUGCCGGAUGGGCCCGCGUGCCAUCAGCUAGUUGGUGCGGGAAAGGCCCACCAAGGCGACGACGGGUAGCCGGUCUGAGCGGAUGGCAGGCCACAGGCGCACUGGGCCACGGGCGCCAGUCCUACGGGGGGCAGCAGUUAGGAAUCUUCCGGAAUGGGCGCAAGCCUGACGGAGGGACGCCGCGUGGAGGGGGAAGUCCUGCGGGGUGUAAACGCCUGAAAUGGGGACGAAAGCCCCGUGUAGGGGGAUGACGGUACCCAGGUAAUAGCGCCGGCCAACUCCGUG
rnacentral:rRNA from 1 species